ACGCUCGACACCUACGGGAGGCGGCAGUGGGGAAUAUUGCACAAUGGGGGAAACCCUGAUGCAGCGACGCCGCGUGAGCGAAGAAGUAUUUCGGUAUGUAAAGCUCUAUCAGCAGGGAAGAAUUGACGGUACCUGACUAAGAAGCACCGGCUAAAUACGUGCUAGCAGCCGCGGUAAUCUGAGCGGCUGGCAAGGC
rnacentral:rRNA from 1 species